UAGGGAAUCUUCGGCAAUGGACGAAAGUCUGACCGAGCAACGCCGCGUGAGUGAAGAAGGUUUUCGGAUCGUAAAACUCUGUUGUUAGAGAAGAACAAGGACGUUAGUAACUGAACGUCCCCUGACGGUAUCUAACCAGAAAGCCACGGCUAACUACGUGCCAGCAGCCGCGGUAAUACGUAGGUGGCAAGCGUUGUCCGGAUUUAGUGGGCGUAAAGCGAGCGCAGGCGGUUUCUUAAGUCUGAUGUGAAAGCCCUCGGCUUAACCGGGGAGGGUCAUUGGAAACUGGGGGACUUGAGUGCAGAAGGGGAGAGUGGAAUUCCAUGUGUAGCGGUGAAAUGCGUAGAUAUAUGGAGGAACACCAGUGGCGAAGGCGGCUCUCUGGUCUGUAACUGACGCUGAGGCUCGAAAGCGUGGGGAGCAAACAGG
rnacentral:rRNA from 1 species